UGCUGUGAAGCAAAUACUGGGUGCUCUGAGAGAGAUGACAUGGAAGCUAUGCUUUGGGCUGAGAGAACAGGAAAGAAUUUCCUGAGGUGAUGCUGUUUAACUGAACCCUGACUUACACCACUGUGACUGGAUGUUGGUUCAUUGCCAUUGACUGCAAUCAUCUCUGACAAGUCUGAGAUCUGCCACUUUGUGGGCUAAGUGUGUGCAUGCUUUGUGAGCCUCUACCUCCAGACUUGCAGAAUGAAAUAGAAUUGACAGCUUGUGUUUUACCAAGAUGAGACCUAGAAGUUGUUAGCAACCUGCAUAAUACAUUAGCGAUCAGCAUCUGAACAGUGGGCUUGAGAAGAGAAUUCAGACACAGACAUGUACAGCGGAGAGAUCACGUGAAGACAGUGCGGACAGCCAUCUACAAGCCAACGAGAGAGGCUUCAGAAGAAACUGUGAUCUCCUUGACCUUGGACAUCUAGCCUACAGAAUUGUAAACUCUAAGGAGGCAGGUGGUUCAGCAGAGAGGAAUCGGGCACAUUAAGGAGUGAAGACACCUCCUCCUCCCACCACAAUCUGCAUUUGGUGAUACUUCUAGACGAUGCAGCAAUGUCGCACAGUCUUACAAAUUCUAGGAGCAAUCCUGCCUAACUUGUGAACUUUGCAUAAACCCAAGGGUGUGACUGUGGAAUGAGAAAGGAAGGCAGGGUCAGCCGUUAGUAGGCAGGCAAUGUAAAGUGGAAGCCGGAGACAAGGUCUUGACUAGAAGCAACCAAAGGAAUACAGUACCUUUGUGUACUGGCACAGGGCUGCUCAAUGUCUGUAUUUACUAAAUGUGUGAAAUCGUUUGCUGAGACCUCACAGUGGGAAAUGUUGCUAAGGGAGUGAAAAUGAGAAGGGGUGACAGAAAAGGACAGGAGUGUGUAUAUAUGCAUGAAAUCCAGGAGGGGUGACGAACACAGUCUACUGACAUCAUGCCAGGGAAAUUUCACCACAUUAGCUCAUUUCUGCAUACUCAAGAUAGCCAGUGAAACCAUUCAAAGACACAGGAAGACAAGGGACUAGUUUGCCCUCUCUUCAAGACUUUUUAUAAGAUUUAUCCUUCGUUGUUGCUAACACAGGACACUAGGACUUACUCUGGCCAAUGACAGGCCCACCUGCUUUCAGAGAUGUUUCAUAUCAGAAGCAUCCUCCUGCUGCUCCCAAUUUCAUUCCAAUUCCACGAUCAUGCUCAAAGCCAUGCAGACAAAACAACCUGACCCUAACUGUUUAACCUGACAUUACACAUACCAAUUAUUAAACGUGUGUCGCUGUCUGGUGAGGGGAGAAUAAUGUAACAACAUGUCAACCAGGUCACAGGCUACACUUCACAAAAAGCAAGGGGAGUGGUUCCUUCAAAACGUGAAGGCAUCCAUCUUCUACUAAAUUGACAUACCCCAUUUUAAAAACGGCAGCUACAAAUAGAAGUCGAGAGAGGGUCAAUUCUCAAAGGGAACAAGCCCUGAGAAAAGCUGUUUUACGUUUACUAUUAUAAGGAUGCCCAUAGUACGUCAAUUAUAACAAACUCUGUUAAAAAAUUUAAAAGUAAAUAAAUGCUACCUCUCCAACUACUGUUACCUCCUCGGUGCUCAGUGGCAGGAUGCAGAAAGCUUUCACAGAGGGUAGAGGCAGGCAGGUGGUCCUGGGAUACCUACAACAAAAACAAUAGAUUCGGAUGAUUUCAGCAGUGACCUGAAUGGCUUCUAGGUACAACUCCAUUAGGCGCAUUCCCCACAAAGACAGAGUUAGCGGCUGCACUGGUAUGGGUAAAGGACAGAACACAGGCACACACAUGAUCUCCGUAGGUAGUAAAUUAUUCUGCAUGAGAGAGACUGUGGCUCAAGACUGGCUUAUGCGACUCACACAAGGUCACAUGAGGGAGAGACAGAAUGGAGCCUGGACAUUCCGUCUUCUCAUUUCUGCUCUAGGACUGUUCUCUGCAUUACCCCGCCCCCCGC